rnacentral:RNase_P_RNA from 1 species
GAAGAAAGGCGAACUGCCGCGGGUGAGAGCCCGAGGAAAGUCCGAACUCCGAAGGACAGUGUGCCGGGUAACGCCCGGGCGCCGUGAGGCGACGGAAAGUGCCACAGAAAAUAUACCGCCGGUAACGGUAAGGGUGAAAUGGCGAGGUAAGAGCUCACCGCCUGUCCAGCGAUGGGCAGGGCAGGGUAAACCCCACAUGGAGCAAGGCCAAAUAGGGAAACGUUUAAAGGUUGUCCGCCUGAGUUUCCGGGUAGGCCGCUUGAGGUUGUCAGUAAUGGCAGUCCCAGAUGAAUGGCAGUUCUUGACAGAAUUCGGCUUACAGCCUUUCUUCCAUU